rnacentral:tRNA from 1 species
ACCAAGAUGGCCGAGUUAAUGUGUUGGACUUGAGAUCCAAUGGACAAAUGUCCACGUGGGUUCAAUCUCCGCUCCUGGUA